GGCAUGUGGGAUCUUGGCUCCCCAAGGGACUGAGCCCAUGUCCCCUGCAUUGGCAGGCAUAUUCUUAACCAAUGGACCACCAGGGAAGCCACUGGGUCAGUCCUAAUUGUUUGAGCUUGAGCUUAUGUUCUGUUCAUAUAACUAACCUCACUCAUUUCCACCCACCUGUCUCCCACCCUUGCUGGUGAUGUGGGUCCAUUUGAUUGUGCUGGCAAGGAUUUGGUGCUUUGUAUGUAUGUGUUUUUUCCAAAUCACCUGGCUUGGGAGAAGAGAGGAGAAGUGGCAGUAGCUGCCCAAGUUCUGGGUACCAGGCACUGUGUCAGGGGACCUGACAUGACCCCACUGGCACUGGCUAUGACCAUUUUCUAUGAGGAAAAGGAGGGAACAGGAGUUAACCCUGAGGUCUGCCUGUCUCCUUUGCCCCUGUAGGCAAUGACCUGUUCCCACAAACUUCUGCUAUGACUUAGGACAGCUUUUCUGAUUCCUCUGCGUUUGAUCUUGGCAGUGGGAUUGGCCAUCUGGCACAUGCAUCCUGGUGGUGUUCACUGGGCAUACACACCCUUUCUCUGUGCAGGUGCUAUGUGAGGUAUAAAGGGGUGCAAGGAACAGUCUGGCCCUGCUCUCCUGGAGCUUUCAGCCUAGAAGGGGAGACAGACAUGAGCAGUGGACCAAGAUAUCCAGGCUUAGAAAUGUGCUAGGUGCUCAAAAGGAUGCUGUGAGGAAAGUGGGACUGGGGGUGGCAAGGAGAAACCUACUUUACGCUGGUGGUCAGGGAAGGCUUCAGAACUAAAAUCUGAAACCUUAGGAGUCAGGCCAUGAAGAGCAUUGCACACACCACUUGUAUGUGCAAGAGCCCUGUGUGUAUAUGUUCACAUGCACACACCACUUGUAUGUGCAAGAGCCCUGUGUGUAUAUGUUCACAUGUGGAACGCCAGUGCACUUUUGUGCAUAGAUCUUCUUCCCUCCGCUUACUGAAGGCCCUCCAGGACAGUGGCAGGGCCUUUGUCAGUGUCCCUCCAAAGCUGAGCAUUUUGUGGAUAAAUGAUUGAGCCCCAGAGUAAUAUUAUUCCAUUGUUGCAUCUUCUAUCCUGGCUUUGUUAUCGGAAAUUUGUGUCCCAAAUAAAAAUAAUAGUUCAUUUUUCUGUUUCACUAUCAAAUGGCUUUUCUUGGCUUUGGGUGGAGGGCACAAUUGGGAUUGGUCAAUAACAUAAAUUACAUUUUAAAUGGUAUUUUGGUGAACAAAUAAUUGAGAACUGACUCAACAUGAGGGCCUGUGUUAGGUGCUUCAGAGAUUUUUUUUUUUUUUAAGUGAGNNNNNNNNNNNNNNNNNNNNNNNNNNNNNNNNNNNNNNNNNNNNNNNNNNNNNNNNNNNNNNNNNNNNNNNNNNNNNNNNNNNACUCAGUUACUAAGUGAACAUACGCAUACACACUUGUGAAGUGCUAUGGGUUUACAAAGUGCUGUGAGCUCUGUGGACUACAAAACUUAACAGAAAAUCAUAGGUUUGGUUGAGUGAAGAGUGGUUGCAAUUUGGGCAUGAAAGGCUGGGGAGCCCAGCUCUCAGAAGCAGGAAACAACAGUGAACUUCCACGCUGGUAAAUAUCUUAGACUGUUCAGGCUGUUAUGACAGAACAUCACAGACUGUGGGCUUAAAUAACACAUGUUUCUCUCAGUCCUGCAGGCUGGAAGUCGAAGGUCAAGGUGCUGGCACACCCAGUGUCUGGUGAGGACCCACUUGCAGGCUCAUAGACAGCUGACUCUCUUCCUGGUGUCCUCACUUGGUGGAAGGGUCCAGAAAGCUCUCUGUGUCUCUCUCUUUUUUAAUUAUGAAAAUAUGAUAACACUUUUAUAGAAUACUUGGAAAAUACAGAACAAAGUUAUAUAUAGUUUCACUGU
rnacentral:lncRNA from 1 species